AACUUCCCCUCCACCUUAAUCCUAAGAUCAACUGCAUGUGCCCAUGACAUUGCCAUCACCAAAAUCUACGCCCCCUCCACCCAUGCCCUCAAACAAGCCUUCCUCGAUGAGCUCCUAUCGAUCGCACAACCAGAUGAUGCCCCGUGGCUUGUUGUUGGUGACUUCAAUCUCCUCCGCUUCCCCUCCGACAAAAACAAUUCCACCUUUCGCCGAUCAGAAGCUAACGCUUUCAACCAAACUAUCGACAACCUAGCCCUUAUCGAACUGCCACUCCUCGACCGCCAACUUACGUGGAAUAAUAAUCGUUCUACGCCCACUUUGGAACUAAUUGAUCGUGUGUUUUUUAACCUCGCCUGGGCAGAUGCUUUCCCUAACGCCUCCUUAUCAUUGCUCACACGUUUCACCUCUGAUCACGUCCCUCUACUCAUACACGUCACCACUACGAUUCCACAUUCUAACUUUUUUAAAUUUGAGCCUGGUUGGUCCAACUUUCGCCCAUGCAACGCCAUCAUCACGAAGUGCUUGAUAAUCCCCAAGUGCAGGGAAUCAUCGUAG
rnacentral:rRNA from 1 species